GCGGGCGUAGCUCAGCUGGUUAGAGCGCCGGCCUGUCACGCUGGAGGUCGUGGGUUCAAGUCCCAUCGCCCGCG
rnacentral:tRNA from 2 species